UACGAAGGGGGCUAGCGUUGCUCGGAAUGACUGGGCGUAAAGCGCGUGUAGGCGGCUUGGCAAGUCGGGUGUGAAAGCCCUCAGCUCAACUGAGGAAGUGCGCCCGAAACUGCUUUGCUUGAGUGCUGGAGAGGUAAGUGGAAUUCCGAGUGUAGAGGUGAAAUUCGUAGAUAUUCGGAAGAACACCAGUGGCGAAGGCGACUUACUGGACACAUAUUGACGCUGAGGUGCGAAAGCGUGGGGAGCAACAGG
rnacentral:rRNA from 1 species